rnacentral:rRNA from 1 species
UACGGAGGGUGCGAGCGUUGUCCGGAAUCACUGGGCGUAAAGGGCGCGUAGGUGGCCCUGUGGAAGUCUGCGGUGAAAGCCCCGGCGCUCAACGCCGGGUCGGCCGUGGAUACUCUCGGGCUCGAGCUUACUAGAGGCAGAUGGAAUUCCGGGUGUAGCGGUGGAAUGUGUAGAGAUCCGGAAGAACACCGGUGGCGAAGGCGGGUCUCUGGGCCGAAAUUGACGCUGGAGGAGCGAAAGCGUGGGGAGCAAACAGG